CCCCCAUCAGGGGAAUAGCCCGCCGAAAGGCGGAUUAAUGCCCCAUAGGCCCAGGGCGCCGCAUGGCGCUAUGGGUAAAGCUCCGGCGGAUGGGGAUGGGCAUGCGUGCCAUUAGCUAGUUGGGCGGUAACGGCGCGCCAAGGCGACGAUGGCUAGGGGGUCUGAGAGGAUGGUCCCCCACACUGGUACUGAGACACGGACCAGACUCCUACGGGAGGCAGCAGUGAGGAAUAUUGGUCAAUGGGCGGAAGCCUGAACCAGCCAAUGCCGCGUGCAGGAUGACCGGCCCGUACGGGUUAGUUAAACUGUCCGUUUUACCCCGGGAAGAAUAACGCCCCUCGUGGAGGGGUGAUGCCGGUACCGGGGGAAUAAGGAUCGGCUAACUCCGUGCCAGCCGCCGC
rnacentral:rRNA from 1 species